rnacentral:rRNA from 1 species
AACUGAGUAGAACAACAGGGAUUGCCCCAGUAACGGCGAGUGAAGCGGCAACAGCUCAAAUUUGAAAUCUGGCCUCCGGGUCCGAGUUGUAAUUUGUAGAGGAUGCUUUUGGCGAGGUGCCUUCCGAGUUCCCUGGAACGGGACGCCAUAGAGGGUGAGAGCCCCGUCUGGUCGGACACCGAGCCUCUGUAAAGCUCCUUCGACGAGUCGAGUAGUUUGGGAAUGCUGCUCAAAAUGGGAGGUAUAUGUCUUCUAAAGCUAAAUAUUGGCCAGAGACCGAUAGCGCACAAGUAGAGUGAUCGAAAGAUGAAAAGCACUUUGAAAAGAGGGUUAAAAAGUACGUGAAAUUGUUGAAAGGGAAGCGCCUAUGACCAGACUUGGGCCCGGUGAAUCAUCCAGCGUUCUCGCUGGUGCACUUUGCCGGGCACAGGCCAGCAUCAGUUUGGCGCGGGGGAUAAAGGUUUUGGGAAUGUGGCUCCCUCGGGAGUGUUAUAGCCCAUUGCGUAAUACCCUGCGCCGGACUGAGGUACGCGCAUCGCAAGGAUGCUGGCGUAAUGGUCAUCAGCGACCCGUCUUGAAACACGGACCAAGGAGUCGUCUUCGUAUGCGAGUGUUCGGGUGUCAAACCCCUACGCGUAAUGAAAGUGAACGCAGGUGAGAGCUUCGGCGCAUCAUCGACCGAUCCUGAUGUUCUCGGAUGGAUUUGAGUAAGAGCAUACGGGGCCGGACCCGAAAGAAGGUGAACUAUGCCUGUAUAGGGUGAAGCCAGAGGAAACUCUGGUGGAGGCUCGCAGCGGUUCUGACGUGCGAAUCGAUCGUCAAAUAUGGGCAUGGGGGCGAAAGACUAAUCGAACCUUCUAGUAGCUGGUUUCCGCCGAAGUUCCCCCUUCAGGAA